ensembl:snRNA U4 U4 spliceosomal RNA
AGCUUUGCGCAGUGGCAGUAUCGUAGCCAAUAAGGUUUAUCCGAGGCGCGAUUAUUGCUAAUUGAAAAGUCACUGCAAGAUACUGUCUUAUAAAUAGUCUAAAGCCUUUUUCUAAGUUUUUUUUUUUUUUUCAUGACAACAAGAGA